CCCACACCACCCUCACGGUUAGCAGUAAGUGUGAGGUUGUCCUUCUGGCCCCCGUAUCCCCACAUGGACUCUCUCCGCAAACUUUUGGUUUUGCAGCUGGUCGGCUUGAAGGAAUGUGAACUUAGGCUGAGUUGGCAGCACAGAGAUUUUCAAGUGUGACAUCACCUCCCAGUCGGGAAAGCUGAUGAAGUCUGAUCCCAGCCUGAAAGUUGUGAUUUCCCCUGGCUCUCUGGAAUUCUGGGUGUUCCUGGAUUUGCCGGAGAUAUUCUGUUGCUCUCAGCAGUGUGAGUCUUGGAGCUCCAUUUUCCCUUCUCACCUUACUGCCGCAUGAGAAUUCACAGGCCACUGGCAGGAUGGGAGCCUUCUAGCCAGCCUCCGGAUUGCAGGAAACAACGAAGGAGCUGAGCUCUGUGACCAGUUUCGAUACCAGCUGAAACCGAAACAUGAGCAGAUACGCAAGAGCAAAGAAUCAGAAGAUGCCAGAAGUGAGAGUACUAAAUGAAGAUACUAUCUGCUGCCUGGAUUUGUCUUGUGAGACACGAGUGUUUCCAGAACCUGGGAGAAGCACACAGCGCCCUGUUGGAGAACCUAAUGGCAAGGUGGUUAAGGCAGAGUGUGGGACAGCUGAAGGCAGAAGACUCAGGACCUCUGCACGCAGAGCAAGGAGACGUCUGUGAGAGGGAGACAAGGCUUACGAAGGGCCUGAUGGAGACUUUGAGAGGAAGAACUAAUGGUGGACCUGGACUUAGGUCUUUGGUUUUUCAGUGAUGAAGGAAGCUGAGAAGAAGACAUUUCAGACUGAGCCCCUGAAACACAGAAAUAAGAAGAAUAACUCUUAAGACGGUAUUUAGGUACCGCUCUUAAGAAGCUCCUCAGUAACCACACAAUAGGUGGUAAGAACAGCAGGAUUUCCAGUGACUCUGGGCCGCUGUCGGGCUUCUCCACCUGGGACCUGCAGACUCACCCUCAGGCAUCCGUGAGUGCUCUUGCAUGGUGAUGAAGAAUACAGGGGCUACUAAUUCUAUUUGGUGCCACUGCCUUGAUUUGUGUGAAAGUGACAGCAGUUCUACCCACCAUUUCUUUUGCACCAUCAAUACAAGUGUUAACCCAGUGAAAAAGAUAAUGUCUUAGUAUUAUGAUGAUGAUGAUGAUGAUGAAGAAGAAGAAGAAGAAGGAGGAGGAGGAGAAAGAAGAAGAGAAGAAGAAGAAAAUAUUUUUGAACGCAGAACCCCUGAAAGCUUCUCCAGGAUUACUGAGGGGUCUCAUGGACCAAAUUUAGAACCACUG